rnacentral:rRNA from 1 species
UACGUAGGGGGCUAGCGUUGUCCGGAAUUAUUGGGCGUAAAGAGCUCGUAGGCGGUUUGUCGCGUCGAAUGUGAAAUCCCGGGGCUCAACCCCGGGUCUGCAUUCGAUACGGACAGACUAGAGUUCGGUAGGGGAGUCUGGAAUUCCUGGUGUAGCGGUGAAAUGCGCAGAUAUCAGGAGGAACACCGGUGGCGAAGGCGGGACUCUGGGCCGAUACUGACGCUGAAGAGCGAAAGCGUGGGGAGCGAACAGG